CAAUGAUCCGUCCGCU
rnacentral:sRNA from 1 species